rnacentral:rRNA from 1 species
CCUACGGGAGGCAGCAGUGAGGAAUAUUGGUCAAUGGACGAGAGUCUGAACCAGCCAAGUAGCGCGAAGGAUGACUGCCCUAUGGGUUGUAAACUUCUUUUAUAUGGGAAUAAAACGUUCCACGUGUGGGAUUUUGUAUGUACCAUAUGAAUAAGGAUCGGCUAACUCCGUGCCAGCAGCCGCGGUAAUACGGAGGAUCCGAGCGUUAUCCGGAUUUAUUGGGUUUAAAGGGAGCGUAGGUGGAUUGUUAAGUCAGUUGUGAAAGUUUGCGGCUCAACCGUAAAAUUGCAGUUGAAACUGGCAGUCUUGAGUACAGUAGAGGUGGGCGGAAUUCGUGGUGUAGCGGUGAAAUGCUUAGAUAUCACGAAGAACUCCGAUUGCGAAGGCAGUUCACUGGACUGCAACUGACACGGAGGCUCGAAAGUGUGGGUAUCAAACAGGAUUAGAUACCCCUGUAGUC